GUUUGAUCCUGGCUCAGGACGAACGCUGGCGGCGUGCCUAAUGAAUGCGAGUCGAGCGAGAACCGGUCGGUUUCUUCGGAAAGCGGCCGGGGAAAGCGGCGAACGGGUGAGUAACACGUGGGUAACGUGCCCUGCAGACGGGGAUAACAGCGGGAAACUGCUGCUAAUACCCGAUAUAAUAGCGCAUGGCAUCAUGCGACUAUGAAAGCUCCGGCGCUGCAGGAUCGGCCCGCGGCCSAUUAGCUUGUUGGUGAGGUAACGGCUCACCAAGGCGACGAUCGGUAGCUGGUCUGAGAGGAUGGUCGGCCACACUGGGACUGAGACAUGGUCCAGACUCCUACGGGAGUUAGCAUCAGGGAAUCUUGCGCAAUGGGCGAAAGCUGNACGCAGCGACGCCGCGUGGGGGACGAAGGUCUGCGGAUCGUAAACCCCUGUCAGGAGGGACGAAGUUCUGACGGUACCUCCAGAGGAAGCCACGGCUAAUUACGUGCCAGCAGCCGCGGUAAGUCGUAAGUGGCGAGCGUUGUCCGGAAUCACUGGGCGUAAAGAGCACGUAGGCGGUUUSGUAAGCGGCGGGUGCAAUCCCAGGGCUCAACCCUGGAACUGCUCCCCGAACUGCCAGACUARAGUGCNGGAGAGGGSAGUGRAAUUCCUGGUGUAGSGGUGGAAUGCGUAUAUAUCAGGAGGAACACCGGUGGCGAAGCUGCUCCCUGGAACGCAACUGACGCUGAGGUGCGAAAGCUAGGGGAGCGAACGGGAUUAGAUACCCCGGUAGUCCUAGCCGUAAACGAUGGACACUAGGUGUUGGAGGCAUCAASSCCUCCAGUGCUGUUAUCUAACGCGUUAAGUGUCCCGCCUGGGGAGUACGGKCGCAAGGCUGAAACUCAAAGGRAUUGACGGGGGCCCGCACAAGCGGUGGAGCAUGUGGGKCAAUGGGAUGAUACGCCAAGAACCUUACCAGGGCUUGACAUCAUAGGGACAGCCUACGAAAGUAGGUCUCCCGGGCAACSGGGCCCUAUGACAGGUGGUGCAUGGUUGUCGUSAGCUCGUGUCGUGAGAUGUUGGGUUAAGUCCCGCAACGAGCGCAACCCUCACCGGAUGUUGCCAGCGUAAAGUCGGGCACUCUUCCGGGACUGCCUGAGUAAUCAGGAGGAAGGAGAGGAUGACGUCAAAUCUGCAUGCCCGCUUACGCCCUGGGCUGCACACGUGCUACAAUGGCGGGUACAAAGGGUUGCCAAACCGCGAGGUGGAGCCAAUCCCCCAAAGCCCGCCCCAGUUCGGAUCGGAGUCUGCAACUCGACUCCGUGAAGCCGGAAUCGCUAGUAACCGUGGAUCAGCAAUGCCACGGUGAAUACGUUCCCGGGCCUUGUACACACCGCCCGUCAAGUCACGAAAGCUGGCAGCACCCGAAGUCUAUCCUCAGAGAUGGCCGAAGGUGAGGCUAGUGAUUGGGACUAAGUGCGUAACAAGGUAGCCG
rnacentral:rRNA from 1 species